rnacentral:rRNA from 1 species
GACGUAGGGCGCGAGCGUUGUCCGGAUUUAUUGGGCGUAAAGAGCUCGUAGGCGGCUUGUUGCGUCGACUGUGAAAACCCGCGGCUUAACUGCGGGCUUGCAGUUGAUACGGGCAGGCUAGAGUUCGGUAGGGGAGACUGGAAUUCCUGGUGUAGCGGUGAAAUGCGCAGAUAUCAGGAGGAACACCGAUGGCGAAGGCAGGUCUCUGGGCAUUAACUGACGCUGAGGAGCGAAAGCGUGGGGAGCAAACAGG